rnacentral:rRNA from 1 species
UGGGGAAUAUUGCACAAUGGGCGCAAGCCUGAUGCAGCCAUGCCGCGUGUGUGAAGAAGGCCUUCGGGCUGUAAAGCACUUUCAGCGAGGAGGAAGGUGGUGAACUUAAUACGUUCAUCAAUUGACGUUACUCGCAGAAGAAGCACCGGCUAACUCCGUGCCAGCAGCCGCGGUAAUACGGAGGGUGCAAGCGUUAAUCGGAAUUACUGGGCGUAAAGCGCACGCAGGCGGUUUGUUAAGUCAGAUGUGAAAUCCCCGGGCUCAACCUGGGAACUGCAUUUGAAACUGGCAAGCUAGAGUCUCGUAGAGGGGGGUAGAAUUCCAGGUGUAGCGGUGAAAUGCGUAGAGAUCUGGAGGAAUACCGGUGGCGAAGGCGGCCCCCUGGACGAAGACUGACGCUCAGGUGCGAAAGCGUGGGGAGCAAACAGAUUAGAUACCCUGGUAGUCCACGCUGUAAACGAUGUCGAUUUUGGAGGUUGUGCCCCUUGAGGCGUGGCUUCCGGAG